GGCCCUCUGCCGUGUUCGUGUUUAGGAUCCAUAUUGGAACAACCGAUGAAACCUGCUUAGGGAGCCGCAUUGAGCCGCACGAGGACACGCCCGCUCCGGCGGGAUGCCCGAAACGGUUCAGAGGCACCCAUUUGACAAGUGGGUUGUUUCCAAAACAUCCUUACGGCACAGUGGUGGAAGGCCG
rnacentral:other from 25 species